AUGUGCGGCGGUGUGCCCGUCAUCAGCUGGCCGUUCUUCGCGGACCAGCAGACCAACUGUCGGUACCAGUGCACCGUAUGGGGCGUCGGCAUGGAGAUCGACGGCAGCGUCCGGCGCGACGCCAUCGCGGGCCUUAUCACGGAGGUCAUGGAGGGGGAGAAGGGGAAGGCGAUGAAGAAGAAGGCGCGGGAGUGGAGGGAGAAGGCGGUCAUGGCAACCGAUGCCGGCGGCUCGUCUCGCCGCAACUUGGACGAGCUGAUCCGCGACGUGCUAGCUCCAUCUUUCCACGGCAAUCCUGCUAGCUAG
rnacentral:rRNA from 1 species